ACAGCAGUAGCCACGGUAAUACGUAGGUGGCAAGCGUUGUCCGGAAUUAUUGGGCGUAAAGGGCUCGCAGGCGGUUUCUUAAGUCUGAUGUGAAAGCCCCCGGCUCAACCGGGAAGGGUCAUUGGAAACUGGGAAACUUGAGUGCAGAAGAGGAGAGUGGAAUUCCACGUGUAGCGGUGAAAUGCGUAGAGAUGUGGAGGAACACCAGUGGCGAAGGCGACUCUCUGGUCUGUAACUGACGCUGAGGAGCGAAAGCGUGGGGAGCGAACAGGAUUAGAUACCCCGUAGUCCCUGUCUCUUAUACA
rnacentral:rRNA from 1 species